GGGGAUAUAGCUCAGUUGGUAGAGUGCUUGUCUUGUGUGCACAAGGCCCUGGGUUCAAUCCCCAGCACCACCA
rnacentral:tRNA from 1 species